ACAAACCAUUUCAGUGGAUCCC
rnacentral:rRNA from 1 species